UCCCUGGUGGCUCAGAGGUUAAAGCAUCUGCCUGCAAUGCAGGAGACCUGGGCUCGAUCCCUGGGUCGGGAA
rfam:Ovis aries breed Texel chromosome 1, whole genome shotgun sequence.